AGGUGCGAUCCUACCAGCAAUAAUGCAUCGGAUCCCAUCAGAACUGCAUAGUUAAGCCUGCUUUGGCGAGAGUAGUACUAGGAUGGGUGACCUCCUGGAAAGUCCUCAUCAUGCACCUC
rnacentral:rRNA from 2 species